rnacentral:lncRNA from 1 species
CUCUCCAUCACUGGCGACACGUGUUGAAUGCUAAACUUAGCGGUGUGGAAUAAUAUUAAUAAAGGGGUGGUCGCUCUAUAACUCUCUUUCUCUCUGCCUCGCUCUCUCUUUCACUCUCACGCUUUGGCUAUCAUAAUGCAAUAUAAAUAUUUACUAGAACCACUCAACCCUCCAUGCACCCCCUCCAACCGCAUUUCUCCCCCCUCUCUCCUCCCCUCCAGUCCUGCCAUUCUCCUGGCUCCUAUCGCUUUCUGCUUCUCCAAGCAAAACGGAGGCGCACCUCGCCACUGUCUGCGGAGCACAUUGGCUGGCGCGGUCUGCAACGCCAUCCAGAGCGCCUAACGAUGUCUCGCUGGAGAAUGUGUCUCCUGAGGGAAUACUGCCUGACAACGGGGGAUCAGGAUUCCAUAAGGAGAAGUGAGCGCUCUGUUUCAUCCAGCUCACUGGGGAAUUCACAUCCCCCUACUCACACAAACACACACACACACAGAGUAAUACGCACACUCACUCGAGUAUGCACACAAAGACACACACAUACAACCACACACACACUCCCCCUCCCUCCCUCCCUGUCUCCCUCCCUCCUGCCACUACACCCCUGACAGCAGUCCUCUGGUGAUAUCAAUAAGAAAGCAGGUCUAAUCAAUGACUCAGUGUCUCACCAUCCCAUCAGUCUGUGAUCCUCCCCUACACCAGAUUACCCAGCCUAAACCUCCCUCCCAUCACAACCCACAGGAGCCUCUCUCCCCGCUUUAUUCAUAGACAGACACACAGAGACAUACAUACACCUUGUUGCAGGCUAAAUAACCAUGUAGUUCUUUAUGUAUUGCAAUGACUUCUGACAGCUGUUGUGCUGCUGUGAGACUGUGUGAGAAAAAUAAAUCCUUGAUGGAGGAGAAAGUUUAAGUCUAAAAUCCCUGACUAUUACUUUCCGUGUUUUCUCCGAGCUAGGUGGAGGUGUGACCCAAAUCCUUCAGGUUUUCUGAUGAUUGGACUGAACGUUAGAUCAGAG